rnacentral:lncRNA from 1 species
CUGGAAGGGCUCUCUUGUCUUCAUCCAUUUGGGGCCCAGCCAAACAGUGAGGAGAUAAAUAGUGCUUAUAGUCAGUGUUGGAAAUGGAGACUGCAUCAAGGGCCAAUCAUCGACACGUUUGUCUCGGAUGCUCCAGGUCCAGCGGUAGAACUCGAGGGUGUCGUUCAGCACGCUGGACACCAGGCCCGCGGCGCGGGGGGGCUCGGCGGCGGCGGCACCCAUGGCGAGCAGCAGCAGCAGCGGCGGAGCCGGCAGACCUGUCCUCGGUGCUUGCGUCCGUGCCUCUGCGCCGGGGCUGCUGCUGCUGCUGCCCUUCUACAGCCGGGGAUGUGAUUUAAA